rnacentral:other from 1 species
GGCUGACUGCGCUCCGCGGCAGGAAACAUUUCUCCGGGGCCUUACGCAUCUCCAGGGAGCUGUCCCUGAUUGGACUCGUGGGUCCUCUCACACGGCGCCCACCUACUAAAGUAGGUUCCCGGGAUACGGCGUUCCACCGGUUGUCGCGGUUGGCCU